rnacentral:rRNA from 1 species
AUAUCAAAUAAGCGGAGGAAAAGAAACCAACAGGGAUUGCCCCAGUAACGGCGAGUGAAGCGGCAACAGCUCAAAUUUGAAAUCUGGCCCCAGGCCCGAGUUGUAAUUUGCAGAGGAUGCUUUUGGCGCGGUGCCUUCCGAGUUCCCUGGAACGGGACGCCAUAGAGGGUGAGAGCCCCGUACGGUUGGACACCAAGCCUUUGUAAAGCUCCUUCGACGAGUCGAGUAGUUUGGGAAUGCUGCUCAAAAUGGGAGGUAUAUUUCUUCUAAAGCUAAAUAUUGGCCAGAGACCGAUAGCGCACAAGUAGAGUGAUCGAAAGAUGAAAAGCACUUUGAAAAGAGGGUUAAACAGCACGUGAAAUUGUUAAAAGGGAAGCGCUUAUGACCAGACUUGCGCCCGGUGAAUCACCCAGCUCUCGCGGCUGGGGCACUUUGCCGGCUCAGGCCAGCAUCAGCUCGCUGUCGGGGACAAAAGCUUCGGGAACGUAGCUCUCUUCGGGGAGUGUUAUAGCCCGUUGCACAAUACCCUUCGGCGGGCUGAGGUACGCGCUCCGCAAGGAUGCUGGCGUAAUGGUCAUCAGCGACCCGUCUUGA